GGCCGCUUUGAGCAAAUCAGUCCGGAAGAAUGGCGAGCUCUGCCCGCCUCGGCCAUCGAUCCCGUGAGCCACAACCAACAUGGAUUGCGGUUGCACAACUGUUCCUCUUCCUCCUCUCCGUGGUCCUCUCUGCGCCCUCGCCUGCUCUCUCCGCUUCCACCGUCACCCACCUGCCCGGAUUCCGCGGCCCCCUUCCCUUCCAUUUGGAGACAGGGUACGUGGAAGUGGACGAGGUGAACGGCGCGGAGCUCUUCUACUACUUCAUCCCGUCGGAGGGCCGGCCGAGCGAGGACCCCCUCCUCCUUUGGCUCAACGGCGGUCCCAGGUGCUCUGCCCUGAGUGGAUUGGUCUUCGAAGUUGGUCCUCUGAAGUUUGUACCUGCGGAGUACAAUGGAAGCUUGCCAAACUUGGUAUAUCAUCCGUAUUCUUGGACAAAGGUUGCCAACAUGAUCUUUCUAGACUCUCCGGUUGGGUCAGGGUUCUCAUUUUCACGUCGUUACGAAGGUUAUAAUGCCAAUGACAUGUCUUGGUCGGAACAUGUUUAUAAGUUUCUCAUAAAGUGGUUUAUUGAUCACCCACAGUUCCUCUCCAACCCUCUCUACAUAUCCGGAGAUUCAUAUGGUGGAAAGAUUGUUCCCAUCGUCACUCACCUCGUAUCCGAAGGUACCAAAGUUGGAAACAAGCAACUAAAUCUUAAGGGUUACCUAAUUGGCAACCCAGUCACAGGUGAAAAUUUUGAUGAGAAUUCUCGAGUGCCUUAUGCUCAUGGUGUGGGAAUUAUAUCAGAUGGUGUCUUUGAGAUGAUACAAAGAAGUUGCAAAGGGCAAGACCAUCGAAAUCCAACCACUGUGCAAUGUGCAUCGUGUCUUGAGACUUUUGAGAACUUUUGUUCAGAGAUCUAUGAGAAUCAUAUUUUGGAACCAAAAUGUGCUUUGGCAUCACCGAAGCCAAAGGAUAUGAUUCUAGAUAGAAGAUCCCUGAAGGAGAAUAUGGAUCUACUUAAGCCACCACCUGUUCCUGAGCUAAACUGCAGAGGUUAUGCUUAUUUUCUGUCCUACUAUUGGGCAAAUAGCAAUGCUGUGAGACAGGCUCUCCAUAUCAAGAAGGGAACAGUCGAAGAAUGGCAGAGGUGCAACAGUGAUUUGCCAUAUGCAAAGGGACUCAAAAGUAACUUAGAGUAUCAUCUCAACCUUACAACCAGAGGCUUCCGUGCUUUGGUGUACAGCGGUGAUCACGACCUCUACAUACCAUUUGUGGGCACAAAGGCAUGGAUAAAAUCUCUCAACUUCUCGCUUGUGGAUGAUUGGAGAUCUUGGCAUGUAGAAGGCCAAGUUGCUGGGUGAGCUUUGUGACAGUGUCAAAGAUUGGUUCAAAGAUUUCUCCUAUAACAAUACCGCAACAUUCUCAUUCUGAUUACCAUGAUCUUUGUUUACUAGGGUGGUGGUCACACAGCUCCAGAGUACAGGCCAAAGCAAUGCUUGGCUAUGAUUCAAAGGUGGAUCUUUCAUGAACCUCUAUGAACUCCUCUCUUUUCCUUCCAUUGGUUCUACUUAGAGCUUAUUGCAUCAUGGAGUUACACACCUUGGAACCAUAUAUGGGAUAUCCAACAUAUACAUAUGUACACCACUAUGAAUCUGUAUGUUGCAGCUCACAUACAUGUAGAACUUCACAUCCUGUGCCUUCGACACAGUAAUUCAUCACAUGCACCUGCAAUUAUUGUCUUGUGAUAUUGUAAGAAUUUGCUAGAGAAACUCCCAAAUAUGUCUCUACUUGGACCAUUCUCUACCAAUUUGGGAUAUUUAAGCUACUACUAUUGCUAUCCAAAAACAAGAACUUUGUUACUCUUA